GCGCGGUAGCUCAGUUGGUUAGAGCGAUCGACUCAUAAUCGAUAGGUCGGGAGUUCAAGUCUCCCCCACGC
rnacentral:tRNA from 3 species